rnacentral:rRNA from 1 species
AGCCAUGCCGCGUGUGUGAAGAAGGCCCUCGGGUUGUAAAGCACUUUCAGCGAGGAAGAACGCCUAUCGGUUAAUACCCGGUAGGAAAGACAUCACUCGCAGAAGAAGCACCGGCUAACUCCGUGCCAGCAGCCGCGGUAAUACGGAGGGUGCAAGCGUUAAUCGGAAUUACUGGGCGUAAAGCGCGCGUAGGUGGCUUGAUAAGCCGGUUGUGAAAGCCCGGGCUCAACCUGGGAACGGCAUCCGGAACUGUCAGGCUAGAGUGCAGGAGAGGAAGGUAGAAUUCCCGGUGUAGCGGUGAAAUGCGUAGAGAUCGGGAGGAAUACCAGUGGCGAAGGCGGCCUUCUGGACUGACACUGACACUGAGGUGCGAAAGCGUGGGUAGCAAACAGGAUUAGAUACCCUGGUAGUCCACGCCGUAAACGAUGUCGACCAGCCGUUGGGUGCCUAGAGCACUUUGUGGCGAAGUUAACGCGAAAGUCGACCGCCUGGGGAGUACGGCCGCAAGGUUAAAACUCAAAUGAAUUGACGGGGGCCCGCACAAGCGGUGGAGCAUGUGGUUUAAUUCGAUGCAACGCGAAGAACCUUACCUACCCUUGACAUCUACAGAAGCCGGAAGAGAUUCUGGUGUGCCUUCGGGAACUGUAAGACAGGUGCUGCAUGGCUGUCGUCAGCUCGUGUUGUGAAAUGUUGGGUUAAGUCCCGUAACGAGCGCAACCC